rnacentral:rRNA from 1 species
UAGUCAUAUGCUUGUCUCAAAGAUUAAGCCAUGCAUGUCUAAGUAUAAGCAAUUAUACCGUGAAACUGCGAAUGGCUCAUUAAAUCAGUUAUCGUUUAUUUGAUAGUACCUUACUACUUGGAUAACCGUGGUAAUUCUAGAGCUAAUACAUGCUGAAAACCCCAACUUCGGAAGGGGUGUAUUUAUUAGAUAAAAAACCAACGCCCUUCGGGGCUUCUUGGUGAUUCAUGAUAACUUUACGGAUCGCAUGGCCUUGCGCCGGCGACGGUUCAUUCAAAUUUCUGCCCUAUCAACUUUCGAUGGUAAGGUAUUGGCUUACCAUGGUUUCAACGGGUAACGGGGAAUUAGGGUUCGAUUCCGGAGAGGGAGCCUGAGAAACGGCUACCACAUCCAAGGAAGGCAGCAGGCGCGCAAAUUACCCAAUCCCGACACGGGGAGGUAGUGACAAUAAAUACUGAUACAGGGCUCUUUUGGG